GUUAUAGGGUCAAGCAAUGAAGCGCACACGGUGGAUGCCUAGGCAGCCAGAGGCGAUGAAAGACGUGGUAGCCUGCGAUAAGGCUCGGUGAGGUGGCAACAACCUGUGACCCGGGCAUUUCUGAAUGGGGAAACCCACUCAUCAUAAGAUGAGUAUCGUGCACUGAAUACAUAGGUGUACGAGGCGAACCAGGGGAACUGAAACAUCUAAGUACCCUGAGGAAAAGAAAUCAACCGAGAUUCCCCUAGUAGCGGCGAGCGAACGGGGACCAGCCCUUAAGCAUGAGACUGAUUAGGCGAACACGCUGGGAAGCGUGGCCGUAGCGGGUGAUAGCCCCGUAGUCGAAAAUCUGAUCAUGUGAAAUCGAGUAGGUCGGGGCACGAGAAACCUUGACUGAAGACGGGGGGACCAUCCUCCAAGGCUAAAUACUCCUGGCUGACCGAUAGUGAACCAGUACCGUGAGGGAAAGGCGAAAAGAACCCCGGAGAGGGGAGUGAAAUAGAUCCUGAAACCGUGUGCGUACAAGCAGUAGGAGCAGACUUGUUCUGUGACUGCGUACCUUUUGUAUAAUGGGUCAGCGACUUAUAUUCAGUGGCGAGGUUAACCGUAUAGGGGAGCCGUAGGGAAACCGAGUCUUAACUGGGCGACACAGUCGCUGGAUAUAGACCCGAAACCGAGCGAUCUAUCCAUGAGCAGGGUGAAGAUUGAGUAACAUCAAUUGGAGGCCCGAACCAGGAUCUGUUGAAAAAGAUUUGGAUGACUUGUGGAUCGGAGUGAAAGGCUAAUCAAGCUCGGAGAUAGCUGGUUCUCCUCGAAAGCUAUUUAGGUAGCGCCUCACGUAGUACCGCCGGGGGUAGAGCACUGUUUCGGCUAGGGGGUCAUCCCGACUUACCAACCCGAGGCAAACUCCGAAUACCGGUGAGUAGAGCGUGGGAGACACACGGCGGGUGCUAACGUCCGUCGUGAAAAGGGAAACAACCCAGACCGUCAGCUAAGGUCCCGAAAUCCUGGUUAAGUGGGAAACGAUGUGGGAAGGCUCAGACAGCUAGGAGGUUGGCUUAGAAGCAGCCAUCCUUUAAAGAAAGCGUAAUAGCUCACUAGUCGAGUCGGCCUGCGCGGAAGAUGUAACGGGGCUAAACCAGGUACCGAAGCUACGGGUUCAUUCUUAGGAAUGAGCGGUAGAGGAGCGUCGUGUAAGCCAAUGAAGGUGAAUUGAGAAGUUCGCUGGAGGUAUCACGAGUGCGAAUGCUGACAUGAGUAACGAUAAAGGGAGUGAAAAACUCCCUCGCCGGAAGACCAAGGGUUUCUGUUCGACGCUAAUCGGAGCAGAGUGAGUCGGCCCCUAAGGCGAGGCCGAAAGGCGUAGUCGAUGGGAAACGGGUCAAUAUUCCCGUACCGGACAUGGUUGCGAUGGGGGGACGAAGAAGGCUAGGUGAGCCAGGCGUUGGUAGUCCUGGUGAAAGUGAGUAGGCCGAGACCUUAGGUAAAUCCGGGGUCUUAAAGCCGAGACACGAGACGAACUGACCACGGUCAGGAAGUCACUGAUGCCACGCUUCCAGGAAAAGCCUCUAAGCUUCAGAUCAUGUGCGACCGUACCCCAAACCGACACAGGUGGUCAGGGUGAGAAUCCCAAGGCGCUUGAGAGAACUCGGGUGAAGGAACUAGGCAAAAUGGUGCCGUAACUUCGGGAGAAGGCACGCCGGC
rnacentral:rRNA from 1 species